CUAACGCAUUAAGCACCCCGCCUGGGGAGUACGGCCGCAAGGCUAAAAACUCAAAGGAAUUGACGGGGGCCCGCACAAGCGGUGGAGCAUGUGGUCAAUUCGACGCAACGCGCAGAACCUUACCUGGGCUAGAAAAUGCAGGAGCCUGGCCGAAAAGGUCGGGGGUGCUCUUCGGAGAACCUGUAGUUAGGUGCUGCAUGGCUGUCGUCAGCUCGUGUCGUGAGAUGUUGGGUUAAGUCCCGCAACGAGCGCAACCCUUGUCGUUAGUUGCCAGCGGUUCGGCCGGGCACUCUAGCGAGACUGCCGAUAUUUAAAUCGGAGGAAGUGGGGAUGACGUCAAGUCCUCAUGGCCCUUAUGUCCAGGGCUACACACGUGCUACAAUGGCCGGUACAAACGGUUGCGAACCCGCGAGGGGGAGCUAAUCCGAAAAAACCGACCUCAGUACGGAUAAGAGUCUGCAACUCGACUCUUUGAAGUUGGAAUCGCUAGUAAUCCCUGAUCAGCAGGCAGGGGUGAAUACGUUCCCGGG
rnacentral:rRNA from 1 species